UACGGAGGGGGCUAGCGUUGUUCGGAAUUACUGGGCGUAAAGCGCGCGUAGGCGGACCUGCAAGUCGGGGGUGAAAGCCCGAGGCUCAACCUCGGAACUGCCUUCGAUACUGCGGGUCUCGAGUCCGGGAGAGGUGAGUGGAAUUCCUAGUGUAGAGGUGAAAUUCGUAGAUAUUAGGAAGAACACCAGUGGCGAAGGCGGCUCACUGGCCCGGU
rnacentral:rRNA from 1 species